rnacentral:rRNA from 1 species
GACGAACGCUGGCGGCGUGCUUAACACAUGCAAGUCGAACGGAAAGGCCCUGCUUUUGUGGGGUGCUCGAGUGGCGAACGGGUGAGUAACACGUGAGUAACCUGCCCUUGACUUUGGGAUAACUUCAGGAAACUGGGGCUAAUACCGGAUAGGAGCUCCUGCUGCAUGGUGGGGGUUGGAAAGUUUCGGCGGUUGGGGAUGGACUCACGGCUUAUCAGCUUGUUGGUGGGGUAGUGGCUUACCAAGGCUUUGACGGGUAGCCGGCCUGAGAGGGUGACCGGCGACAUUGGGACUGAGAUACGGACCAGACUCCUACGGGAGGCAGCAGUGGGAAAUAUUGCACAAUGGGCGGAAGCCUGAUGCAGCAACGCCGCGUGCGGGAUGACGGCCUUCGGGUUGUAAACCGCUUUCGCCUGUGACGAAGCGUGAGUGACGGUAAUGGGUAAAGAAGCACCGGCUAACUACGUG